UUAUGUGAACCAAGAAAAUUGGAUUAAUUAAGUCAACAUGAUUGUUAACUAUGGGUGUGUAAUGCAGCCAAAGUAAAACAGAGCAGGAGAGCAUUCUGUUCUCUGCCUCAGGCAGUAAAAUCUCUUGGGCUCAUCCAGCAAGUCAGAUGAAGGACAACAUUCUUCAAAGCUCUGAGGAAGCGAUUGCAAUAAGACAAUCUAUGGGAAGGAUCACAGAAGAAGAGAGGAAGAUGAAGAAGGCAUCAGAAAUCUAUUCCACAGUGAAUCCCCCACUCUACAAAGCCAAUUCAAUAAACUGUUCUGUAGAAAUGGUCCUUUAAGAAAAAAGGCUCCAAUUUUUUUUUAUUUUUUUUAAAAAAAUAUUUCAUAGGUUAGUAAGGAAACUUGGUGGGUUUUGUAUUCUGAAUUAUGGGGAAUAUGUAAUUGCUUGGUCAAUCACAUAAUAAGUCAAAGACCAAAUGAAAAGAAACAUUAAAAGAAGUCAUGAUUUACAAAUUUUGUUUGCAUCAUUUGGUUUAUUUAAACAAAUUGAACAGGAAAUAGGCCCCAUCAAUGAACAAUGCAUAUACAUAUCAAUCACUACAGUAGAUGGUUUCAGAAAAAGAAGAUAAAUGUUUAAAUUUUAUCUGUAAACCAAAAUGUGCAGUUGAAGACCAUUUCUGAGCAGCCAGAUUAACAGAAUGACAUGACAAACAAUGA